GCAGGCCUAACACAUGCAAGUCGAACGGUAACAGGAAUUAGCUUGCUAAUUUGCUGACGAGUGGCGCACGGGUGCGUAACGCGUAUAGAACCUACCCUUUACAGGGGGAUAGCCCGGGGAAACCCGGAUUAAUACCGCAUACGCCCUACGGGGGAAAGGGGGGGAACUCUUCGGAGACCUCUCACUAUUGGAGGAGCCUGCGUUGGAUUAGCUUGUUGGUGAGGUAAAGGCUCACCAAGGCUACGAUCCAUAGCUGGUCUGAGAGGACGAUC
rnacentral:rRNA from 1 species